rnacentral:sRNA from 1 species
AAAUAAUUAAGCUUAUUAAAGACAAAAAAAAGGAUGUUAGUUUUCGAAACAUUGGCAUAAUAACUCAUUACAAGGCCCAGAAGACGAUGAUUCAGAAGGAUUUGGACAAAGAGUUCGAUAGAAAAGGACCAGCAGAAGUAGACACUGUGGAUGCAUUCCAGGGUCGGCAGAAGGAUUGUGUUAUUGUUACGUGUGUCAGAGCAAAUAGCAUGCAAGGUUCAAUUGGAUUCCUGGCAAGUUUGCAGAGAUUGAAUGUCACCAUCACACGAGCCAAGUACAGCCUCUUCAUCCUCGGACAUUUGAGGACCCUGAUGAUGAGGAAACAGGCUCAGAGAGGUCAAGUGACUUGACCAAGGUCACACAGCAAGUAAAUACUGUGCAGCCUCACUGCUUCCCUAACAUACCUUUAUGAACAGUACAGGAGCCCCCAUGAGAGGGAAAACCAGCAUUGGAAUCAGCUGAUUCAGGAUGCUCAGAAGCGUGGUGCCAUUAUUAAGACCUGUGAGAAAAACUAUAGACAUGAUGCAGUGAAGAUUCUGAAACUCAAGCCUGUGCUGCAGAGAAGUCUCACUCACCCUCCUACCAUAGCCCCAGAGGGGUCCAGACCCCAGGGUGGUUUGCCCAGCAGCAAGCUAGACAGUGGAUUUGCCAAGACAUCUGUUGCUGCUUCUCCAUACCACACACCCUCUGACUCCAAGGAAAUUACUCUUACUGUUACUUCAAAGGACCCUGAAAGACCUCCUGUUCAUGACCAACUUCAGGACCCACGACUGCUGAAGAGGAUGGGCAUUGAGGUCAAAGGAGGAAUAUUCCUUUGGGAUCCACAACCCUCGAGCCCCCAGCAUCCUGGAGCAACACCUCCUACGGGCGAGCCGGGCUUCCCUGUCGUUCACCAGGACCUGAGCCAUGUACAGCAGCCCGCUGCUGUAGUGGCUGCUCUGAGCAGCCACAAACCUCCCUUGCGGGGCGAACCUCCAGCUGCCAGUCCCGAGGCUUCCACGUGUCAGAGCAAAUGUGAUGACCCGGAAGAGGAGCUCUGUCACAGGAGAGAGGCCAGGGCUUUCAGUGAGGGGGAGCAGGAAAAGUGUGGCUCCGAGACCCAUCACACCAGGAGGAACUCUAGGUGGGACAAGAGGACACUGGAGCAGGAGGACAGCAGUUCCAAGAAAAGAAAGCUUUUAUAGGAAAGCCCAGUGACAUGGGCCAGCAGCCACAGCAUAUUGUAAACUGAAGAUGACCAGCUCGUGGGACCAUCUAGAUAAGCUUGUUUUUUGUAAGGAGUUUGUGUGCUGUUGGAAAACAUGGAAAAUGCAUCCUUAACACCUGAGCCUCUGGUCAUCUUCAGUAUUUUCUGUCAUUUGCAAAAGCUUUCAGAGGGCAUUGUGUAUCCGUAAUAAUGUCCUUGAAGUCAGAGACUGGAAAUGUUGAUCUCUUAGUCUUCUAUAGACAAGGAGGUCAGACUGGAGUGAAUGUUGUAAAAGUUGAAAUGUAUAUUUGUAUAGCAAAUAACAAAAUCCUUUUAAAAUUUAAUCUAGUAGACCGCUUUUCUUUCCCCCUGUUUAAAAUGUUAAUCAUUUUUCAACAGAACAAACUUUAUAUUACAAAAAAAAAAAAAAAAGAUGGGAGGAGGGCGGGUCCUUCCAGCCAUUGUUAGGGCAAGACAGAUUGAUUAACAGCCCAGCUUGGAAUAAGCUGAGUUAGUGCUGGUGGGUCAGGUGUCUCUGGCUCUAUUUAAAAAAAAAAAAAAAAGCAAAAAACCCCCCAAAAACCUGGAGUCUCGUAGGGGACACUUUGGGCAGCACGGUUAUGUUAGGUAAAGUCUUGCUGACAUGGUGCAUUUUUAGAUAGAGUGCAUUGGCCCAUGGUAUUAUAUUUCUGUGAUGAGUUCAUUUACCUGUUUCAGUAUGCACAUAGUUCCCUAGCUAAAAUUCCUAAUCUUCUUGAGAGAGAAGAAUAUGGAGUGAAAGAAUAAUUCUUGAGCUAUCAUUCAAAUGCUCCCAGCAUAUUGUGAGCUUUGUGUGACUGGUGAGGUACAGACAUUUGGUUGCCAAAUGCUAGAUUAGCGCUGGGUCAGCUGUGGAAGAAUCGCCUCAGCUUACAGAUUGUCAGACAGAUCUAACUAGUUUCCCAGAAAGCCUGGGAAGCUGUGUGUUCAACAUUUCCCAAGGGAUUCUGAUCACCAAGCAGCUUGGGAACCACUGGGGCAGGCCAAAUAGAAUAUUUUGGGCGGGAAAGAAGCACCCGAUUUAAAAUGAAGCGUAACCAGAGGAGUUCAGAACUGGGAAGAGAGUGGUAGACUUCCUGUGAUCUUCAGAAAUCAUCUACCUGGUAAAAAUACAUGCUGUUUAGAAUAUCUGAUAGGUGUUUCCAGCUACUAUUAGAGGUGAUAGUGCUUUUGUGGGGGAAAAAAUUGGUCAUGGUGAAUGGAGAUCGAGGAAGCUCAGGACAAGGGAGGGGUGGGCUGCCUGAUUUUGUCCAGUUUUCCAAAUAUCCACACAGUGAACUGGAGUAUCCUAAACAUGAGAAUGUACAGUUGACAGUUGUAAAAACUAGGGGUCUGUAGUGAAUGCUGUGCAGCCCCUUAUCUCAUUUGGGGGUUGGAAAAUAGCUGAAGAUUCAUGUGCAUUAUUUGACAUUUCCUUUGUCAUCUGCUUUUCAAGCAAAAAAGGGUUUUGUGUUAGAAAUUCUACUUGAGCAGAUCAUAAAGAGCUUUAAAAAACAACUUUCGGUUGCCAAAAGUUUGAGCAUUUGAUUUCAUUACCUGUGUCUCCCUCACUGGUGUCCAGACAUCUGACUAAUGUCAACUGAACACUCCUGAAACCCAGGGAGCAGGUGACUUCCUAGAGUGCUUUGUCCCCAGAGUCAGCCACUGCUUCCUCUGUGGGGGUGGAGAGUUUGUCUUUGGCCAUGCAGUGUGCGACAGUUCAGGACGGGUAGGGAUGGGUCCCACUCUGUCUGGGUCAAGGGCUCUAUCAGCUUCUUCCAUGUGCCUUUGGGAAGAAAUCUCGUUACUUUAAGUUUGCUUUCCUGUUAUCUUGAUGAAGUGCCCAUUUUAGCAGACACUUGUAGUGGUGACCACUUAGGGAAUGUACAAACUCCUAAGCUUCUAAAGGGAGGCAUGGCAAAAACAGUUGGGGUCAGGAUGUCUCUCACGCUGCUCAUGUUAAUACUAUUAACACAUGAUUUGAGAAAUAAGUUUUCUCUAAAAUGCAUAUUUUGCUGCCACACACUGAACAAUAUUAUUUCCAGUGAAGUUUGAUGCCUGUUCUUAACGUUGUGUUCACCUGUUGGUUCACCACUCAGCAGAUCUGAUUCUGCAAGAAUUAAUGGUAGAACUAGAUCAUCCUUUCUAACAGACGAGCCUGUGUCCUUUGACGGCCUUUCACAGCGGAAUGCAGUUGUACCUCACAUUACUUUUGAAACUUCACUCGUUACAGUUGGUACAAGUAUUUGCCAAAGCCAUUUCCUGUGUUCACCGUGGCCCCUCCUGAUGUGGCUGUCAGCGCAGCGUUGUUGAACAGGGCUAUUCUUUUUACAAGGUGUGAAGUGUGGCUCUUUGCUUCGUCUUUGCCAUGGCAUUAAAAGAAAGUUCCCUGUCUUCUUUCAAUAUUAGUUAUUUCAAAUGAAUAUGUGCUACUUAAAAGCUUGUUUUGUUUCUUUGUAUAUAAUUUGCCUUGGAUUUAUUGUGCACAGUUUGUUGAGUUGUAUGUUUUUGUGAAUUAUCAGGAGUAAAUUUGACAAGUACAUGUGAAUAACCUCCUGUAAAUGAAUUUUAUAACAAAAAUGUACUGAACUAUUUUUUAAAGUUGUGCAGAUUAGCAAUUUUUUGCUAUAGCUUUGACUUUUCUAUGCUGUGAAUUAAUAGCUGCGAUUUGGCAAACAGUAGCCCUGUUGUCUUUGUUAAACCCUAAAUUUUAAGAGGAAAUGGCAGAAUUAAAAGCAGAAACAAGAUGACGGAUAUGGAUUAGAGGUUAUGUAUUAUGAAGUAAACUACAAAGUACUAACAUCAUUUCGUCUGCCAUUUGGUUUGCUUUAUGCUGAAAUUACUUGGUGGGGAUUUGUGCAAUUCAGAUAUAAAAAGUUUCAUUAUCCA